rnacentral:rRNA from 1 species
UAAUACGUAGGGAGCAAGCGUUGUCCGGAUUCACUGGGUGUAAAGGGUGCGCAGGCGGAUUUGUAAGUCAGAGGUGAAAUCUCACGGCUUAACCGUGAAACUGCCUUUGAUACUGCAGAUCUUGAGUUUGGGAGAGGUUGAUGGAAUUCCAGGUGUAGCGGUGAAAUGCGUAGAUAUCUGGAAGAACACCAGUGGCGAAGGCGGUCAACUGGCCCAUAACUGACGCUCAGGCACGAAAGCGUGGGGAGCAAACAGGAUUAGAUACCCUGGUAGUCCACGCCUUAAACGAUGAAUACUUGGUGUUGGUUCUUAAUGAAUCAGUGCCGGAGGUAACCUGGUAAGUAUUCCACCUGGGGAGUACGCUCGCAAGGGUG